CCACAAUGAUGAAUUGCCCAGACGUUCAGUUUCCACCAGAACUGAACUUGUGUUGGCACACUAGCUUCCUUCCUUGGUUGACUGAGUGA
rnacentral:snoRNA from 1 species